AGAAGGAACUAAGCAUGAAGAAGAAGAGCGAGAAGAAGGCAGCAAGCAUGAAGAGGAAGAGAGAGAAGAAGAGGAAGAAGGAAGCAAGCAUGACAUGGAAGAGAGAGAAGAAGAAAGAAACAAGCUUGAAGAUGAGGAACAAGAAGAAGAAACCAAGAAUGAUGAGACAGAAGAUGAGAGGAGAGGAGGUGGCGCUGAUGAGAUAGAUGAACGUGAUCAAGAGAAAAUAGGAGAAGCUGAUC
rnacentral:misc_RNA from 1 species